UGGUGGCAGAUGCGGCGGCCGAAGGGCAGCGCUGCCCCCCCCCCCGAAGGGACCCGGAGCCGCCGCCCCCCCCGCCACCAUUGGCCCUCUGUGCUGCGGGAUCUGGCCCAGAUGGUUCCAUGGCCCCACACCGCGGGGGGGCCCCGCACUCAGGGUCAGGUGCUGCACAACGUCCUGGGCUACAUCCGGCAUCUGCAGAGCAGCCUCAGUGCCGCCAGGGGGGGGGCAGCCCCCCCCACCGUCACCACCGAUGUGGGGCCGAGCUCCGGGACCCCAGUAGGGCAGCUCCUGGUGCCCUAUGAGGAAGAGGAAGAGGAGGAGGAAGCACGUGGGGGGGGGCCGUGGUUGAACCCUAUAGGGUGGGACCCCCUCAGCCCCACAGCGCCUCAAUGGGGCCUGGGGGGGGCAUCCCCAAUGUCCCCCCCCCAACGACGAAAGGGGAUUUUAGGGCUCAGUCCUUCUUUAUUGGCCUCCCCGGCCCCCCCGGGCCCCCCCGAGGACGUGGCACGAGCACUGUUUGCAGAGGUCUGUCUGAGCCCACAGCCCCCCGCGGUGUCCCCAAGGGGGGGGGCGGCAGUGAGGGGUCGGAGGGGGCAGCAGCAGCGCGGACCCCCCCGCGAGAAGAAGAAAUGCGUCAACGGCUUCAUCAUGUUCUGCCGCCUCAAUAGGAGAGCCUACAUCCGCGCUCACCCGGGGACGGCAUCGACCGCGGCCACCAGAGAGCUGGCACAGAUAUGGCACCGCCUGAGCACGGCCGAGCGCCGGCCCUACUGUCUGUGCGCACGCCGCUACAGCCGUCUGCACAACCGCGUGCUGCGCCCGGCGCGGGACGGCGAUGGUGACAACGGUGACAACGGUGACAGUGGUGACCACAGUGCCGGCCCUGCCCUCCCCACACUGCUGUUGGCCGGGAUGGCACCGCCAUGAUGGCCCCAUAUCCCAAUGGCCCCAUAUCCCAUUGUCCCCAUCCCAAUGGCCCCAUAUCCCAAUGGCCCCAUAUCCCAUUGUCCCCAUAUCCCAUUGUCCCCAUCCCAUAUCCCGGUGUCCCCACAUCCCAUUGUCCGAUAUCCCAAUGUCCCCAUCCCAUAUCCCAAUGUCCCCAUCCCAAUGUCACCAUAUCCCAAUGGCCCCACAUCCCAAUGGCCCCAUAUCCCACUGUCCCCAUCCCAUAUCCCAGUGUCCACAUCCCAUAUCCCGGUGUCCCCAUAUCCCAUUGUCCCCAUCCCAAUGACCCCAUAUCCCAGUGGCCCCAUAUCCCAUUGUCCCCAUCCCAGUGUCCCCAUGUCCCCAUAUCCAAAUGUCCCCAUCCCAAUGUCCCCACCCCAUAUCCCCAAAGGGGACCCUUUGGGACACAGCUCUUAAAGGUGCCUUUGGGGACACAUUUUGGGGACAUUUGGGGACACUUUGGGGACCCCCCCUCCCAUUUUGUCCCCAUCAUUAAUUAUCCCCACCAUUAAUUAAUUGUCACCAUCAUUCAUUCAUUAA